GCUGAAGUAGCUCAGCUGGUAGAGCAGCGCAUUCGUAAUGCGCCGGUCGGGGGUUCGAAUCCCCCCUUCAGCUCCA
rnacentral:tRNA from 1 species